rnacentral:rRNA from 1 species
ACUCUAUUUGAUUUCCUUCGGGAUUGAUUAUUUUGUGACUGAGUGGCGGACGGGUGAGUAACGCGUGAGCAACCUGCCCAUAAGAGGGGGAUAACAGUUGGAAACGACUGCUAAUACCGCAUAAGACCACAUUACCGCAUGGUAGAGGGGUCAAAGAAAUUCGCUUAUGGAGGGGCUCGCGUCCCAUUAGGUAGUUGGUAGGGUAAAGGCCUACCAAGCCGACGAUGGGUAGCCGACCUGAGAGGGUGAUCGGCCACACUGGAACUGAGACACGGUCCAGACUCC